rnacentral:lncRNA from 1 species
GUAAAGAGAGUAACGUAUAUUUCUCUUCGCCGGGCUGUCCAUAGCCGUGAUGAUAAACAGUACGUAGAAGGAUGCCGCCUAUAUCGAGGCUAUUAUCCAGGACCGUACUGAGAGUGUAGCAGGCUGACAGGGGCGUAGCCAGAAAUUUUUUUCGGGG